CUGAACCCACUCCUGCCUCAGUUUCUGGCCACUCAUUCCACUUUCUGACUUUCUUGUGGGUACCCUGGCUUUUCUGGGGAGCUGGGAAGUUGACACAUCCCAACUCGAGGCAUUUUCCCAGACAGUGGGAGAUUUCUAGUAAUUCUCCCUCUUUUCUGACUUCCUUCACCCCCUCCUACACCCCACAAAAGCAUGUGAGAAAAGAGAAAACCACCGACAGACGCUGGGGAAAGGAACUGGAAUGGGACCUUCAAGACUCCAGACCCAUCUGGAACAUCUGAUAAGACCUAGAGAUCCAAGAAUCAAUCAAAGUUCACCGUCUACCAAGAGGAGCGGCGGUGUACUGUCCAGGCUUAUCCUGCCAUCUUCCCUGCCCACCCAAGACCAUUCUCCAGGCGAGAGACUGUUACAGGUAGAUGCAGCUGCCAUCCUGGCGAUUAGAGUUACUGUGCAUAACCACACUGACGGCUCAGCUUGAAACAAAAGCAAAAAGAAAAAAAACAGGCUGCAAGUUCCAUGACGGAGGAAGGCAGAAGGUGGGGUCCGCAAGUGAAGCUCACUCCAGGGGAACACACAGACUAGCUAGCGACCUGAUACUAACAGUGUUCAAAGAUGGGGAAAUUUACACAUCUAAGAGCAUGUGUGAGUUUAUUUGCUAGUCCAUUUUGUUUAAAUGCAUAUAAUUAGCUCUCUCUCUCCCUCUCUCUCUGUAUAUGUGUGUGAGUUAGGAUACAUUUGAAGUUCUCUUGUCCUUCAUCUCCUACCUUAAUUUCCUCUUGUGAGUCAUGGAUUCUGACAUUUACUUUUGUAAUUCCUAAUACAUUCUCCAGGAACAUAGCUAGAAUAUUAUUGCUUUCCUGCCUCUUUAAAUUUGCAUAAAUGCUGUGACCCAUGUGUGUCUUGCUUUCUAGCUUUUCUGUCAACCAGGAAGUAUGUUUUCUUCCCUCAACAUUGGUUUUGAAUCUGAAUGUCAGUUGUGGCUGUUCAAAGGACAUGUGGCUAGCCUUGUUUCUGCCUGACAGGAUCCUGGCAUCAGACACCUGGGGCUGUGAAUGACAUCCAUGCAUGGAAAGCUCUGGCGACAAGUUCAAGGAAGGAACUUUUGACUGAGGCCAAUAUGGUCCCCCAAAUAUUUGUAAGCAGCCAAAAUCAGGCUUGAACAAUGAAUAGAGAGGUCCAUCUCCCCACCCUUGUGACUUCUGCCCCACACAGUAAAAUAAAAUAAAAAGAGAAGAAGAAGAAAAUACCAAGUCUCCUUGGUAUUUCCCAUAUACUCACUGGAGCACGGUCAAACUUCCAGUGGCCAGCCCCUUGAAGAAAACUAAGUCCUUCCCCAUGGCCCUGCCAAAAGUCAUCAGCGAUGGAGAACUAUACAUCAGCAUCUUUAUCACAAUGUGUAAGGUCUCCCUUUAAUGACUUCCUGUCUAGACUGUUUCUUUUUGUGGGUAGGGGUGAGGAGGAGAGAUUGUCACAGAAGCCUUCAACGUCUCUCAUUCUCAACUGUGAAUCUACAGUCAAUGAUACUAUGCAAAAGACGCUUAAGCCCUUUAUAGUCGGCAGCAGUAUGGCUCAUGGACAUCCUUCUUGCCUACAGCAUCAGCAUGAACCAGGGACCUCAGUCUGAUUCUUCAGUGGCAGUAUAGACCACAGAUAUUAAUAUGGCCCUCAUCUGCAACCCGGCCCUUGAUCGCAGCAUAAACCACCAACACCAUUAUGGACCUCGGAGGCAGCACAGGGCGUGUACAUCAACAUGGCCACCAAAGGCAGCACAGCCCAUGGAUGUCCCCCUGUCCUUUUGUAGUACCAUGACCCAUAAACAUGGCAUCCAGCAGCAAUACAGACCAUGGAUAUUAGGCAUCAGUGCAGUCUGGAGCAGCAGACUGGAACACAGAUACCAGCAUGUCCCCCACUGACCACAGAUACCAACAUGGCCUCCAGGGACAGCACAGACCAUGGAGGUCUUUGAAGAGGUCUAGUCCAGAAAACACACCAUUCUCCAUCUCUGACAUCUUGUUGCUCAAGCCAGGGCAGAAGCUUAUUCUUUAGGUGUGAUGAGGUCGCAGAUCAAGAGACAAUGGCCAUCGAAGAAAGCAGAUAUUGGAAGUAUAGCUCAGCAGUAGAGCACUUGCCUAGGAUGCAUAAGGCAAGUUCAAUCCCAGCACUAGUGGUGAAAAGAGAAUGAGUAUUUCUGUGCUGGGAUGAGUAUCUGAUGUAUUUAAGUUUGUCUUCCAUGCCUCUGAUUCAGAGCUCAGUACAUGUGUGCCUGUAUGUGUGAUAUGGUAGUCAUUUAUUAAAAGAGACAAAUAUAUUGACAGCAACCUUAGAAAACAAAUCUCCACCAUAAAUGUUGGAAUCAGUGAGGGUACAGGUUGAU